rnacentral:rRNA from 1 species
UUGGAGGGCAAGUCUGGUGCCAGCAGCCGCGGUAAUUCCAGCUCCAAUAGCGUAUAUUAAAGUUGUUGCAGUUAAAAAGCUCGUAGUUGAAUUUCGGGAUCAGAUUGUCGGUCGUGCCUCGGUACGCACUGGUAUUAUUGGUUCCUACCUUCUGAAGAACCGCGAUGUCAUUAAUUUGGUGUCGUGGGGAAUCAGGACUGCUACUUUGAAAAAAUUAGAGUGUUUAAAGCAGGCUUACGCUUGAAUACAUUAGCAUGGAAUAAUGAAAUAGGACGUUUGAUUCUAUUUUGUUGGUUUCUAGGAUUGACGUAAUGAUUAAUAGGGAUAGUUGGGGGCAUUAGUAUUCAAUUGUCAGAGGUGAAAUUCUUGGAUUUAUUGAAGACUAACUACCGCGAAAGCAUUUGCCAAGGAUGUUUUCAUUAAUCAAGAACGAAAGUUAGGGGAUCGAAGACGAUCAGAUACCGUCGUAGUCUUAACCAUAGACUAUGCCGACUAGGGAUCGGAUGGUGUUAAUUUUUUAAUGACUCAUUCGGCGCCUUACGGGAAAC